rnacentral:rRNA from 1 species
UUAAAAAGCUCGUAGUUGGAUUUCUGUCGAGGACGGUCGGUCCACACUUUGUGUGAGUAUCUGAUUCGGCCUUGGCAUCCUCCUGGGGAACGUUUCUGCGCUUGAUUGCGUGGAGCGGAAUUCAGGACUUUUACUUUGAGGAAAUUAGAGUGUUCACGGCAGGCAAACGCCUUGAAUAUAUUAGCACGGAAUAAUAAUAUAGGACCUUUGUUCUAUUUUGUUGGUUUCUAGAGCGAAGGUAAUGAUUAAUAGGGAUAAUUGGGGGCAUUCGUAUUAACGCGUCAGAGGUGGAAUUCUUGGAUUGCGUUACGACAAACUACUGCGAAAGCAUUUGCCAAGGAUGUUUUCAUUGAUCAAGAACGAAAGUUAGGGGAUCGAAGACGCUUAGAUGCCGUCGUAGUCUUAACCAUAAACUAUGCCGACUAGAGAUUGGAGGUCGUUCUUUUUAUGACUCCUUCAGCACCUUAUGAGAAAUCAAAGUCUUUG